CGUGGCCUGGUGGUUAUGACACCAGGCUAAUGACCCGGGGGUCGUGGGUUCGAGCCCG
rnacentral:tRNA from 1 species